CCGAGACAGAUGCCGCUGCUACCCAGUACGACUACGGUGUUGACGACCCCUCCUUCUCGGCUGAGGUUCCAGAUGUUGGAGCCCAGGAGCCAGACGCCACCGUCAACGACGACUCCUACUACACCGGAGGUGCCUACUACUACGUGUAGGCCGCUGACGACGACCAGGAGUAGUUUAGGAGGAUCCCAGGCAGGAGGCCUGCGCCUCUUUCGAUCUGCAUCCCAGUUUGUGCUAGCCUUCUUAAGGCAAACUUGUUUAACUUAUGUCUGUACUCAGAUAUUAUUGCUUCCGCUGACUCGUCUAUGA
rnacentral:rRNA from 1 species